rnacentral:rRNA from 1 species
UAAGACGUAGGGUCCAAGCGUUGUCCGGAUUUACUGGGCGUAAAGAGCGCGUAGGCGGUCUAUUAAGUGUGAAGUGAAAUCUCUAGGGCUCAACCCAGAAACUGCUUCGCAUACUGAUAGACUUGAGGAAUGCAGAGGUCAGUGGAAUUCCUGGUGUAGCGGUGAAAUGCGUUGAUAUCAGGAGGAACACCCAUGGCGAAGGCAGCUGACUGGGCAUUAUCUGACGCUGAGGCGCGAAAGCGUGGGUAGCAAACAGGAUUAGAUACCCUGGUAGUCCACGCCCUAAACGAUGGAUACUAGGCGUAAGAGGUAUCGACCCCUCUUGUGCCGCAGCUAACGCAUUAAGUAUCCCGCCUGGGGAGUACGGCCGCAAGGUUG